rnacentral:rRNA from 1 species
GAUUUCGGGCUUUAUUUGCGCAGGAUAGGUGGGAGGCUUUGAGAGUGUUUUUGAGGGAACAUUUGAGCCAUUGGUGAGAUACCACUCUUAUAAAGCUAGAAUUCUAACCUUAUACCGUUAGCCGGUUAAGGAACAGUCUCUGGUGGGCAGUUUGACUGGGGCGGUCGCCUCCUAAAAGGUAACGGAGGCGCACAAAGGUUUCCUCAGAUCGGUCAGAAAUCGAUCGUAGAGCGUAAAGGCAUAAGGAAGCUUGACUGCGAGACCUACAAGUCGAGCAGAGACGAAAGUCGGUCUUAGUGAUCUGACGGUUCCGAGUGGAAGGGCCGUCACUCAACGGAUAAAAGUUACUCUAGGGAUAAC